rnacentral:rRNA from 1 species
AGCGAACGCUGGCGGCAGGCCUAACACAUGCAAGUCGAACGAACCCUUCGGGGUUAGUGGCGGACGGGUGAGUAACACGUGGGAACGUGCCUUUAGGUUCGGAAUAACUCAGGGAAACUUGUGCUAAUACCGAAUGUGCCCUUCGGGGGAAAGAUUUAUCGCCUUUAGAGCGGCCCGCGUCGGAUUAGCUAGUUGGUGAGGUAAUGGCUCACCAAGGCUACGAUCAGUAGCUGGUCUGAGAGGAUGACCAGCCACAUUGGGACUGAGACACGGCCCAAACUCCUACGGGAGGCAGCAGUGGGGAAUCUUGCGCAAUGGGCGAAAGCCUGACGCAGCCAUGCCGCGUGGGUGAUGAAGGUCUUGGGAUUGUAAAAUCCUUUCACCGGUGAAGAUAAUGACUGUAGCCGGAGAAGAAGCCCCGGCUAACUUCGUGCCAGCAGCCGCGGUAAGAC